ensembl:snoRNA
AUCCUUUUGUAGUUCAUAAGCAUGAUGAUUGGGUGUUCACGUGCAUGUGUGAGAUAUGCCUUGUCAAGACAUCAGCACAUUACCCAUCUGAUA